ensembl:lncRNA
UCCUGUAGAACCGUUCUCUGCAGAGCUGCAGGUUCCGUUACCAGAGUGUUUAUCCGUACUCUGCCUUUCUGUAAAUCCACAUUUGGACAAACAGAACGAGAGGAAUCAACAUGUGGCGCUUUCCUCAACUCAUUAGGACUCACGACACAUUCUCCAUCCUCCGUCGUAACAACAACCACACUGAAGCACUUUUCCUCAGACACACACACACACACACACACACACCUUCUCUCAAUCUUCUAUCCACUUACGUGCUCACCCCUCCCUCCACUCCCUCUUUCUUCCAGCACGCACGCACGCACACGCACACACACACACACACACACACACACACACGCCUUCCAUCAAUCUCCUACCCGAUUACACCCGCACGCUAAAACCCCUUUUUUCACACCUCCCCAACACACAUCUCCUACCAUCCCUAAAACCUUUUUCGUUUCCUCUGGCACACACACACCGGCUCUCUUUUUGUCAACCGCUAACCCCCCUCACUCACCCAUAUCCCCCAUCCAACCCCCGCCCCCCACCCCUCUCAGUAAUCUGGCUGGCCCGUGGCCUCCUCUCUCUCGCUCCACUGUUCUGUGUGAUAGAAUAUCGAUCGGUUUGCCUCGGCUCGGCGUGGAGCAGGAGGAGGGGGGCCGCUGUAGGGCUAUAGGGAGCGUGUGUGUGUGUGUGUGUGUGUGUGUGUGUGUGUGUGUGUGUGUGUGUGUGUGUGUUAGGGGGGCAGUGGUCAGACAUGCUCCAAGGUUGUUACCACAGCAACAGCAGGAUGGGUCAGAGGGUUGCCAUGGCGCCUAGGUCGCAGGGUCAGGGGGAGGGUCUGGAGGGUUCUCGUUUUCUCCCUGCGUGUGUGUGUGUGUGUGUGAGUGUGAGUGUGUGUGUGUGUGUGUGUGAGGAGGGAGAGGAGCGUCCAGUGCAGCUAUAUUGGGUGUGUUAAUAAUGAAUGGUGUUGUAUGUAGUCACUGUCUCCUUCUCUCUCGCUGCAUCUGCGUCUCUGUCGCAAUAAUAUAUGAAGCAGCAGAACAGCAGCCUGGUUCAUUAUUUAGGGAUGAGCUUUAACUACGAGGAUAUGAGUCCACAUACGUAAAAACAAUCCGCUGCUCAGACGCCUCUGAAGCCUCAUGACCUCACGCGUUGGCAGCUCUUCUUUAAUGUUUUAGUAAAAGUAGCAAAUGUUUACAGUUUCUUUUAGUGGUGUUUCACGGGACAGAACAUUUAAUCAUUAAAACAACGCGUGAUAAUGUAAUGAAACCAUCAUUACAUAUGUGCAAAAGUCCAUAAAGUGUUUUGGAGUCCAGCGUCCGGCCGCCGGCGCUGGGAACAGUCACGGUGCUGCGUUAAACCUGCUGGAUGGAAGCCGAGAUCGUUGGCACCUCCUCUUCUCUCUGCAAAGCUGAGCCGCUGCGCUCCCUCUGCUUCCUCAGGACCGCGAUGAGGUAAAUGACGGCAACUGAAGCACACAGAGGGAAAGCGAGCAGGUGUAAGAGUGUAACAUAAUGCUGCAUUCAACAUACGCGCUCUUGUUUGUAAAGGUUUCAUGACCUACGACGAGUGAAAAGCUCAAAAUGAAGAAAAAUUUAACUUUACAUUUUUAUAUUGGUUAAAACUGUAGGUGAUGGAAAGGUUUCCUCCCAAUUUAUGACCAAAUAAUCUCAUAAAUGUUGCACUACUGCUGUAUUUGAUGGGACGAUGAUGCAGGUGUUCAGGGUCACUUUGUGGUCCAGUCUGACUGAGCUCAGCUGCGUUAAAUCUAACAGCGAACGCUUCAGUGUUUAGAGAAAAAUGUUGCCAGGUUGUGGCUCAGAAUACAAAUUCACAUCCCGUUUGACUUACUGGUCCAAAGCACCUUACUGCCCACAUUUCCUUCUGUUAGAUUUUAAGCCAGUGGACCAAACAGGAUGUUCCAGUCACAAGCGUCCGUGCGAAGCCCCUCUGAGCGCCUCUGCACCACCCGCAUCAACACCGCAGGUUAUCAGGGUGCGUGCGGCUCGGCCCACUGUGUGUGAGGCUCAUCUCACACGCGUGUGUUCACGGAAACUUCGUGACAGCGAGUGAAAGCAAAUCCAAAUGUAAACAGCAUGAAGCAGAAUCUCACCAAACACCACAAUGAGGACGCUCAUCUUCCAGUCGGUCACUAUAGGAUAAAGAAGCCAGGCUGAAUUCUCCUCUAAUAAAAGGUUGCUGUGAAGGAGAAACCUACUGUUA